GGCCGCGGGAAUUCGAUUCAGGCCUAACACAUGCAAGUCGAACGGCAGCACGGACUUCGGUCUGGUGGCGAGUGGCGAACGGGUGAGUAAUACAUCGGAACGUGCCCAGUCGUGGGGGAUAACGUAGCGAAAGCUACGCUAAUACGGCAUACGAUCUAAGGAUGAAAGCGGGGGAUCGCAAGACCUCGCGCGAUUGGAGCGGCCGAUGGCAGAUUAGGUAGUUGGUGGGGUAAAGGCUCACCAAGCCGACGAUCUGUAGCUGGUCUGAGAGGACGACCAGCCACACUGGGAGUGAGACACGGCCCAGACUCCUACGGGAGGCAGCAGUGGGGAAUUUUGGACAAUGGGCGCAAGCCUGAUCCAUCCAAGCCGCGUGCAGGAUGAAGGCCCUCGGG
rnacentral:rRNA from 1 species